ensembl:lncRNA serine/arginine repetitive matrix protein 5-like
GAUGAUGUAUUUAAGAAAUAUCAACAGAAUAUGAGUGCAUCACAAAACAGAUAUAGGCCCUACCCCCAUGUAUACAAAGUACCUUUUUGACAUCGUACACUACAUCAAAUAAUAAAUAAUGAUAAUGCAUAUCAAGAUACAAUCAAGAAAUAUAGAUUUUGAGCCAUUUGCUAGGGUUUACUAACAUGAAGCGUGUAGUUGCCUAGGCGACAAUGACGCCGCCAUUCAAACCGCGCAGCAUGGCAUUUCGGGAUACCUUUCUCCAUCAUGGCGGAUAAGGUAGUUGGCUAACGUUAACGGUUAGCGUAUUCAACGAUUGUUUGUUUUCACACUUUGCGGGAUUGCAGCUAUCUGGCGUUAUUUUCACUGAAACGGCAUCCUCCGAACAUAAACUGGUGUUGAUUCAAGGAGCAGCCCACCAGUGACAUUAAGAGCACCUUUGACGAUAUCAGUGGCACCGGCACAAUGGAAUGUGCAGUAGACAUCCCCUCAGCGGAAGAUGAGGCACCUGAGAAAGACGACAUGAAUGCCAAGGAAGGGAAUGAUCAACCCCACAAGAAAAACAAGAAACACAGAAAACAUAAGAGCAAGAAGAAGAAGAAGAAGAGGAAGGGGGAAAAAGAGAGCACCUCAGAAUCUGGUGCCGAGUCGGAUGUAGAGCCACAACUGCUAGGUCGACCUGCUGUUAGGUCGACCAGAGCCAGUGCCAGACUAGCAGCAGCUACAGGAGCUGGAGACGAAGCUGGGCUGAAAGAGGAUGGCAAAAUUACAGCUCGUGCGGACACGGACGGAGAUGCCAAAUCCAAAAAACACAAAAGACAUGCUGCCAAGAAGAAGAAAAAGAAGAGGAAGAAAGACGAAAAGCAAGAAAAGAAAUCCCCAUCUCGCUCCCCAUCUGAAAGCAGCUCAGCUUCAGGCUCAGAGUCUGAAGGUGAAGGAGAGAAAGGGGCUGGAGAUGCCAAAUACUCUCCAGCUGCAGCAUCAGAACUGCAAGAACCAGUGUCCAAACUGAUUUCAAAAAGCAAACGAGGGGAGAAACCUGAGUUGCUUGGAGUGAAGAAAGAGGAGAUAUUGGAUAUUAAUGCGUCCCCAUCUGUAGUGAAGGGAAGUAACGCCAAUCUAUCAGAAAAGGAUAUGAGGUCCCCCUCUGCAGGCCAUGAUGAGAUAACACAGACAGCGACAGUUCAGGUUAAGACAGAGGGUAGUCAUGCUGAUGGUACAUUCAGCCAUGCCCAUGAGCUCCCUGACAUCAUCCCUAAACAGGAAGGUGCUACCUCAAGAGAUGACCCAGGCCUGAAAGAGCAGUCCAAUUCAGUUCAGAGGGCAAAGGUCAGAGAGCACGAUUCAUCCAGGUCUCCUUCCCCUCCCAGGGGCCCCGACAUUAAGAGGCCUCGGUCAAGUCAUAGUCGUUCACCAACACCGAGUCCUAGUCGGGAGCAGUCUGACGGGCAAACAGCAGAAGCAAAUAAAGAACGGUCAAGAACCCAUUCCAGGUCUACUUCGAAGGAAAAGCGGUCUGUAACUCCUCUAAAGAGUCGGCAGCUAUCCCGCUCUCAGUCCCCUAAAUUUAGGAAGUCACCUUCCCAGUCCCCCAAGAGAGCUAUCUGUCAGUCCCGGUCCACCUCUCGCUCCCUCACCCCAAAGAAGAAGGUGUUAAAGUCUCCAAGGAAGUCCAAGUCUCCUAAGCAUCGCAGGAGGUCAUUGUCUGUUUCUCCAAAGCGACGCCGAAGUUCCCACUCUCCUAAAAGAAAGGUGUCACGAUCCCCUAAACGCGGUGGGCGCAGGUCCCCCUCUCUAUCUCGGUCUCCAAGGAGAACUCGAAGGUCCGAGUCACGUCCCCGUGGAGGAGCAAGGCAUUCCAGGGCCCGCUCACCUAGGCGAAGUGGUGCAGUUGGCAGACGUUCAAGGUCACGUUCCGUCACGAGAACCCGUCGCUCCAACUCUAGAUCAAGACGUCCUGUCCGUCGCUCCAGGACACGGUCACCGGCAAGACGUGCAGGAGGUAGGCGCUCCAGGAGCCGAUCCUUGUCUCGUCGUAAGAGGUCUCCACCCCCCAGAUCCCGCCGCUCACGCUCCCACUCGAUCCGCAGGAGCAGGCGGACUCGGUCACGUUCAGUUGUAGUCCUUAAGCGCAACCGCCGCUCCAGAUCCAAGAGUCCCCGCAAACGGACUAAGUCUAGAACCCCUACCCCCCGACGGCGCUCCCGUUCCGCUGCAAGGAAAAAUCGUUCUCCACCUAGGUCUGGCAAACGCUCCAAAUCUCGCUCAUUGUCUCAAAAGCAUCAGUCAAAGUCACCCUCACCACUACCUGUCAAAAGGAUGUCCAAAUCUCCUAGGAAAGGUGGAAGACGGUCAAAGUCUAAAUCUGUCUCGCCCGGCUUGAACAGAUCUCCGUCCAGGUCUGAGUCAAGUAAUGGGCGGUCUGACAACUCCUCCCCAGCCAGAUCCACAUCUCCCUCACCUGUUAAAGAGAUCAAGCCUUCUUCUCCUGAGGCAGAGCAGACAGUCGCUGAAAGUGGUGGAUUGUCAGUUACAGCAGGUGCUUGGAAACCCAUGCCCUCAGCAGCUGUAUCCAUCCCCCUGGCUGAGAGCGCCUCAAAUGCGUUAAAGGAGCCGCUUCAGAUGCCUUCUCCCAACCAUGAUAAGAAACCGAUAGAUGGUGCCAGCUCAUCCAAUGAACAAGAUGUUUCCAGGUCCAGGUCUGUUUCCAAAGAGCCCGUCACUGGCCAAGACGGGUCAGAUUUUUCGGAAGGCUCAGAAGAAGAGGAUUCUGCUUCUCCAGUUAAGCUGAAGUCACGCUCACCUACAGAUCUCAGAAAACUGCGCUCAACUUCAUCACCUCGGCGAUCAACAUCCAAAUCUACAUCCCGAAGAAAGCAGUCUAGGUCCAAGUCUCCUGUAAGGAAAAGAGAAUCUGUCUCUCCAUCAGAGAGGAAGAAACGACGGUCUAAAUCUCGGAGUCCUGCCCGGCGGAGGAGGUCACGCUCGGCUGCGCGGCGCAAACGAUCACACUCGAAGUCACGAACCAGAAUCCGUCGAUCCAAGUCCCGCUCUCCGACCCGAAAGAGACGAUCCCGCUCACCCAAUGCCCGUGGGAGGAGGAGGUCCAAGUCCACAGACAGAAGCAAGCGAUCCAAGAGUCGCUCCACAGGUCGGAGAAAACGGUCAGUAGACAGAAGCAGGCGAUCAAGGUCUCGUUCUUCUGAUCGCAGACGCAGGUCUAGGUCGAGGGGGCGAGGGAGGCGUCCAGUGUUUCGCAGUCGUUCGUUUGAUAGGCGGGACAGGUGGAAAAGGGAACCCAGCCACUCUCCAGUUCUGAUUCUCCGCAAGCAGCGCCGCUCAGGGUCCCGUACACGACGCAGCACCAGCAAGACUCCUCCACGCCUCACUGAACUGGAUAAGGAUCAGUUACUGGAGAUAGCCAAAGCUAAUGCUGCCGCCAUGUGUGCUAAGGCGGGAGUGCCCAUUCCUGAGAGUCUUCGGCCAAAAGCCAUCCUCCAGCUCCCUCUACCCACUCCAUCUCCUACCCCCCUCUCCUUACCUCUACCUCUCCCAAUGGGCAUGGGGAUGCCGAACAUGCCGAAUAUGCCCAACAUGGGUCCGAUGGGGCUAUCCAAUAUUCCAGGAAUGGCCAGCAUGUCAAACAUAACCAUGUCUGCCGCGAUGGCAAGUAUGACCGCAGCUACUAUGACCGCUGCCUUGACCAACAUGGGUGCCCUCGCAGCCAUGCCUCCCCUUGCCCCGCUCCCCACCAUCACUAACAAGCCUCCCCCGUGUCUCGCCCCCCCACAACCAACCCUUAACCUGGACCACAUUGAGGAAGCAAAGAGGAAGGUCACUCAGCAAGCUAACAUUCACACCAUCAAGGAGCUUACUGAGAAGUGUAAGAUGAUUGCAAAUAGCAAGGAGGAGAUGGCCAUUGCUAAGCCCCAUGUCUCUGAUGAUGAAAGCUAAAACCGCCAAGCCCUCACGUCACUCCCCUCAAAAGAACUAAGGGAAAAUGUAACAAAUGCUUUACAGGAAGACUUACCUUCCCACAGUUCUCUUUGGUAGCCAGAUGUCCUGACUGAGCCUCAUACACCUCGAAGAAGAAGAAGCGCACCGGAGUUGUCACAGUUACAAUAUAGGUGCACCGUCAACAGCCACUGCCCCACCCAGCUUCCCAGUUUGUUUCUGUUUGUGUGUGUGAGAGAGAGAAAGAGACUGGCAGACUGUCACCUGUGAUACCACUGAGUAAUCUGGACACACUGACAUAUUGUGUGACUGUACAGUGAGUGUGAGUCCGUGAGUGAAUUGUUUUGUGUAUAUAGUGACUUUCACAACCUCAGUGUUGCUGCUCAUUUAGGCAGUCACUGACUAAAGCGGAAACAAACCAAACUAACUAGUGGCACAAGUGUUUUUGUAAAAGAUUAGUUUCUCUAAAUUUGUUUUACUUUUAUGCUUUCUUAAAUAAUUGAGUUAAGUGGGGACUCCUUCCUUGUUCUUCUGUAUUCCCCUCGGUUACCGCUAGUCACUGGUUUUCUAAACAAAUAAUGCAGAUGAAGUUUUGGUUGAUCCCCACAUGUGAUUUGUUUUCAAAAGCCUGGGUCUCCAGGGCAAGAGAGUGACCACAUGUUGUGAAUCCUGGAACAGGGUGCCAGAUCUGAUUAUUUUUAAAGGAAUGGAAUAACUGAAUAUAUUGGCUGUAAAAAGAAGGUUUGUAUGUUGGCUAUGACAGAUUUUCGUCUUCAUUUACGAAACGGAACUAACUCAGUUAGCACUGCCCUGGGUGUGAUUUUCGAUCCCUCUAUUUUAAACAGCACCAACCUCAUCUUUGACUCUAACCUGAGCUUUCGUUUGGGCUUUGUUGGGAGUUCUUUCCUACUUGGAAACAUGGUUUGCUGUAUAUGUAAAUGGGUCACACUUUUGACACCAAUAUCCUAACAUGCAGUGUUUUGCAGAACACUAUAAUUAUAUAACAUCUGUCUUUUAGAUGCUUUAAAAAUGCUAUCAUGGCAAUUCCCAUUGAAUAUUGAUGCAGUUAGUAUUCAAUGGGAAUUGUCAAGAUAGCAUUUUAAAACUCCAAGACAUUUGGUCGAGUGCAAACAUUUGAAAGGUCUGUGUUUCUAAUCAUUUGUCAUCAGCAAUGCUGGUUAAUGGCUGUCUCGGAGAUCCAAGAUGUUGGUACUUUGCCAACAGAACACAACCUACCAUAAUCCCACAAGAGUUGACUGACUGGACCUUGGGCCACCAAGCUUUACCUUAGUCACUAACCAUUUUUAGUUUUCCUGAUUUAAGAAACCGGAUGGGUAAAAUGUAACUUCCCUUAAACUUCACCCUGUAAAUGGAGGCAAUUAUUACUUUUUUUUUAGAAGAAGAACCUUUCUAGUUCACCGUGUGACUAAAUGCAUGAUAAACAAUAGGCAUUAUAAAAAUAAUAAUAAUCCGCUUUAGAUGCUUUUGCUUUUCUGUUGCUGUUUACAUUAUUAAAACAUAAGUUUCUAUCGGUUGCUUUUUAUAGAGACACACAUGGAGUGUAUCAUUCAUGUUAUUGCGCUUGCGGAUGACACAUUACUUCUAGUGGUUGUAGAGUUGAAAGUUGAGCAUGUCCCAAACUGUACCAUUAUUAAAGUUUUUGUAUAAUAGACAAUCAGGUUAUUUCUUUCAAGAUGUUUUUUUGUUGUUUUUUUAGAGGAAAGAACUAGAACCACAUUAAAUUUAAAAACAUCUUGAACCGUUGUAUUCAGGUGGCCAAUAGGAUGGAGGAUUUCCAUUAUGCAAACAAUGAAAAACCCUCCCAACAAGCCCUUUUCAUUUCUACCACUAACUCAUUUAAUCUGCUUUACUUGUGAAUGUUGUUGGAGUUUAGUAGGCCUUCUGUGCGAGCUGCGUCUGGGUAAACGAGGUCCAUGCUGCACCGAAUGCUUUUGUCCCAUUGGUUAACUGAAGAACAAAGACAAACUUAGUGCUUUUGGAAUGGAUGAGGUUUUUAAGGACUCUUGCAUUCGUAACUCAUUUAUUUUCAUUGGAGAGAGAAAUAAUUCUGGAUCCAUCCUUCUUUGUCGACAUCCCACGCCCAGGGCUGUUUAACUGUGGAACAUAAUCUGUUACGGUUUUGACGAACUGUAACUUUACCGACUGUACCAAAAGCAUUGUUGAACUGUUGAAUUGAUACCCUGAGGUAAUCUAGCUAUUUUAUGAACGAAAAAAGAAAAAAAUGCAUUUUAGGAUUCUUUUUUUUUUUUUUGGGUCAUUUGAAUAUGACAGCGCCUGCUUUGUACAUAAAUGUGUUGAUGAUUAUUAAAAACCUCAAUGAUCUAUAUAGACUGGUGUGCUAUGUUCACUUUAGUCAGGCUUAU